CACGCUGCUUCAACGGCCAGUGGGUACCCAUAUUUUUCUGGAUACAAUGCAAGCAGGAAAAGGAAAGCAGCUACCAUGGAAAAUCAACAUUAAUGCCAGAGCUAGCAAAUUCCAUUUCAAAUUCAAAGCAACAAAAAUUGAUCCAACUUCGAAAUUCUUCAAAUUCUCGCUCUUUCUCAGGCUCCACGCUUUUCUUCUCCAAGUGAAAACUGAUUCAACUCCCAGGCAACCACCUACCACCCUGAAAUCUAAGUUCCUCAAAUUUUUCCGAAAAUUCAAUACUUCAUCAGCUAAGAAAAGGGCAAUUGCUCCAGAGAAAACCUCAAUUCUCCAAAACCCAGAA
rnacentral:misc_RNA from 1 species